rnacentral:rRNA from 1 species
UGAAUGAGAUUUUAACACGAAGUGAGUGGCGGACGGGUGAGUAACACGUGGGUAACCUGCCCAGAAGCAGGGGAUAACACCUGGAAACAGAUGCUAAUACCGUAUAACAGAGAAAACCGCCUGGUUUUCUUUUAAAAGAUGGCUCUGCUAUCACUUCUGGAUGGACCCGCGGCGCAUUAGCUAGUUGGUGAGGUAACGGCUCACCAAGGCGAUGAUGCGUAGCCGACCUGAGAGGGUAAUCGGCCACAUUGGGACUGAGACACGGCCCAGACUCCUACGGGAGGCAGCAGUAGGGAAUCUUCCACAAUGGACGCAAGUCUGAUGGAGCAACGCCGCGUGAGUGAAGAAGGGUUUCGGCUCGUAAAGCUCUGUUGUUAAAGAAGAACGUGGGUGAGAGUAACUGUUCACCCAGUGACGGUAUUUAACCAGAAAGCCACGGCUAACUACGUGCCAGCAGCCGCGGUAAUACGUAGGUGGCAAGCGUUAUCCGGAUUUAUUGUGCGUAAAGCGAGCGCAGGCGGUCUUUUAAGUCUAAUGUGAAAGCCUUCGGCUCAACCGAAGAAGUGCAUUGGAAACUGGGAGACUUGAGUGCAGAAGAGGACAGUGGAACUCCAUGUGUAGCGGUGAAAUGCGUAGAUAUAUGGAAGAACACCAGUGGCGAAGGCGGCUGUCUGGUCUGUAACUGACGCUGAGGCUCGAAAGCAUGGGUAGCGAACAGGAUUAGAUACCCUGGUAGUCCAUGCCGUAAACGAUGAUUACUAAGUGUUGGAGGGUUUCCGCCCUUCAGUGCUGCAGCUAACGCAUUAAGUAAUCCGCCUGGGGAGUACGACCGCAAGGUUGAAACUCAAAAGAAUUGACGGGGGCCCGCACAAGCGGUGGAGCAUGUGGUUUAAUUCGAAGCUACGCGAAGAACCUUACCAGGUCUUGACAUCUUCUGCCAACCUAAGAGAUUAGGCGUUCCCUUCGGGGACAGAAUGACAGGUGGUGCAUGGUUGUCGUCAGCUCGUGUCGUGAGAUGUUGGGUUAAGUCCCGCAACGAGCGCAACCCUUAUUACUAGUUGCCAGCAUUCAGUUGGGCACUCUAGUGAGACUGCCGGUGACAAACCGGAGGAAGGUGGGGACGACGUCAAAUCAUCAUGCCCCUUAUGACCUGGGCUACACACGUGCUACAAUGGAUGGUACAACGAGUUGCGAAACCGCGAGGUUUAGCUAAUCUCUUAAAACCAUUCUCAGUUCGGACUGUAGGCUGCAACUCGCCUACACGAAGUCGGAAUCGCUAGUAAUCGCGGAUCAGCAUGCCGCGGUGAAUACGUUCCCGGGCCUUGUACACACCGCCCGUCACACCAUGAGAGUUUGUAACACC